rnacentral:rRNA from 1 species
CCUGUAAGGGGAGUGAAAUAGAACCUGAAACCGUGUACGUACAAGCAGUGGGAGCACCUUCGUGGUGUGACUGCGUACCUUUUGUAUAAUGGGUCAGCGACUUACUGUUCGUGGCAAGCUUAACCGUAUAGGGGAGGCGAAGGGAAACCGAGUCUGAUAAGGGCGCAUAGUCGCGGGCAGUAGACCCGAAACCGGGUGAUCUAGUCAUGGCCAGGGUGAAGGUGCCGUAACAGGUACUGGAGGCCCGAACCCACGUCUGUUGCAAAAGACGGGGAUGAGCUGUGAUUAGGAGUGAAAAGCUAAUCGAACCCGGAGAUAGCUGGUUCUCCUCGAAAGCUAUUUAGGUAGCGCCUCGGACGAAUACUACUGGGGGUAGAGCACUGUUAUGGCUAGGGGGUCAUCGCGACUUACCAAACCAUUGCAAACUCCGAAUACCAGUACGUACUAUCCGGGAGACACACGGCGGGUGCUAACGUCCGUCGUGAAAAGGGAAACAACCCAGACCCACAGCUAAGGUCCCAAAUUCACUGCUAAGUGGAAAACGAUGUGGAAAGGCAUAGACAGCCAGGAGGUUGGCUUAGAAGCAGCCACCCUUUAAAGAAAGCGUAAUAGCUCACUGAUCGAGUCGUCCUGCGCGGAAGAUGUAACGGGGCUAAGCCAGUCACCGAAGCUGCGGAUAUGUCUUUGACAUAUGGUAGGAGAGCGUUCUGUAAGCCUGCGAAGGUGUCUUGUAAAGGAUGCUGGAGGUAUCAGAAGUGCGAAUGCUGACAUGAGUAGCGUUAAAGGGGGUGAAAAGCCCCCUCGCCGUAAGCGCAAGGUUUCCUACGCAACGUUCAUCGGCGUAGGGUGAGUCGGCCCCUAAGGCGAGGCAGAGAUGCGUAGCUGAUGGGAAGCAGGUUAAUAUUCCUGCACC